UACAGAGGGUGCGAGCGUUAAUCGGAAUUACUGGGCGUAAAGCGUGCGCAGACGGUUGCGUAAGUCAGAUGUGAAAGCCCCGGGCUCAACCUGGAAAUUGCAUUUGAGACUGCGUAGCUAGGGUGCGGAAGAGGGAAGCGGAAUUUCCGGUGUAGCGGUGAAAUGCGUAGAUAUCGGAAGGAACACCAGUGGCGAAAGCGGCUUCCUGGUCCAACACCGACGUUCAGGCACGAAAGCGUGGGGAGCAAACAGG
rnacentral:rRNA from 1 species